GGAUGUGAGGGCAAUUUGGCUGCUACACCUGUCACCUUCGCUCCUCACCCCUCCAUGUGUGUCCCUCCAAAAGCCGUUUGCUAGGUCAAACAGGACGACCUUCCUCGAAUUGAGGAGGACAGGUCUUUGGUCAAAAGCAAAUGAAUAGCUGUGCUCCUCUGCUUGAACCUCCAAACAAGCUUUCAAAACUCACCAAAAUGCUGAGAAGAAGUGAUAGUGGAGUGUUUAGCAUUAAGCGAGUAUGGUAGUUUGAAUGU
rnacentral:snRNA from 1 species